rnacentral:rRNA from 1 species
GACGAACGCUGGCGGCGUGCCUAAUACAUGCAAGUAGGACGCAGUUGCGAACGGGUGAGUAACGCGUAGGUAACUGCCUAUUAGAGGGGGAUAACUAUUGGAAAAGAUAGCUAAUACCGCAUACUAGUAGAUGGACCUGCGUUGUAUUAGCAAGUAGGUAGGGUAAUGGCCUACCUAGGCGACGGUACAUAGCCGAGUUGGAGGGGUGGUCGGCCACAAUGGGACUUGGACACGGCCCAGACUCCUACGGGGGGCAGCAGUAGGGAAUCUGUGGCAAUGGGGGGAACGCUGACCGAGCAACGCCGCGUGAGUGAAGAAGGUUUUCGGGUCGUAAAGCUCUGUUGUUAAGGAAGCGGUACUUAACCAGAAAGGGACGGCUAACUACGUGCCAGCAGCCGCGGUAAUUC